UGCUAAAACCUCCUUAAUUCCUUAAUAAGGAAUUUGGUGGAGGGUCUACAAUAUUUGUGUGGUGACCCCCAAAAUUUUUGAGAAAUUUUGGUGUAUCCCUGAGGGAUCUUUAAUUUCUAACCGGGAUCCCGGAUUUUUUCUUGAAACGGAUGUUUUAAGGAUCCCAUGAAAGAUCCCAUACAAAAGUCUUAAAGACCUACCUCCUUUAUC